rnacentral:rRNA from 1 species
GUGCCAGCAGCCGCGGUAAGGUAAUUGUGUGCCAGCAGCCGCGGUAAUACGUAGGGCGCAAGCGUUAUCCGGAAUUAUUGGGCGUAAAGAGCUCGUAGGCGGUUUGUCGCGUCUGCCGUGAAAGUCCGGGGCUCAACUCCGGAUCUGCGGUGGGUACGGGCAGACUAGAGUGAUGUAGGGGAGACUGGAAUUCCUGGUGUAGCGGUGAAAUGCGCAGAUAUCAGGAGGAACACCGAUGGCGAAGGCAGGUCUCUGGGCAUUAACUGACGCUGAGGAGCGAAAGCAUGGGGAGCAAACAGG